rnacentral:rRNA from 1 species
AGCAAUCUGCCUUGGAGUGGGGAAUAACGGCUGGAAACAGCCGCUAAUACCGCAUGAUACAGCUGGGAGGUAUCUCCCUGGCUGUCAAAGAUUUAUCGCUCUGAGAUGAGCUCGCGUCUGAUUAGCUAGUUGGCGGGGUAACGGCCCACCAAGGCGACGAUCAGUAGCCGGACUGAGAGGUUGGCCGGCCACAUUGGGACUGAGACACGGCCCAGACUCCUACGGAAGGCAGCAG